AUUGAACGCUGGCGGCAGGCUUAACACAUGCAAGUCGAGCGGAGACUUCGGUCUUAGCGGCGAACGGGUGAGUAAUACCUAGGAAUCUGCCCAUUAGCGGGGGACAACGUUUCGAAAGGAACGCUAAUACCGCAUACGCCCUACGGGGAAAGCAGGGGAUCUUUUGACCUUGCACUAAUGGAUGAGCCUAGGCCGGAUUAGCUAGUUGGUAGGGUAAAGGCCUACCAAGGCGACGAUCUGUAGCUGGUCUGAGAGGAUGACCAGCCACACUGGAACUGAGACACGGUCCAGACUCCUACGGGAGGCAGCAGUGGGGAAUAUUGGACAAUGGGCGCAAGCCUGAUCCAGCCAUGCCGCGUGUGUGAAGAAGGCCUCGGUUGUAAGUNACUUAAGUCGAGGAGG
rnacentral:rRNA from 1 species